rnacentral:rRNA from 1 species
UACGGAGGGUGCGAGCGUUGUCCGGAAUCAUUGGGCGUAAAGGGCGCGUAGGUGGCGGGACAAGCGUGCGGUGAAAGCCUGGGGCUCAACCCCGGGUCGGCCGUGCGAACUGUUUUGCUUGAGCACUGUAGAGGCAGGCGGAAUUCCGGGUGUAGCGGUGGAAUGCGUAGAGAUCCGGAAGAACACCGGUGGCGAAGGCGGCCUGCUGGGCAGUAGCUGACACUGAGGCGCGAAGGCGUGGGGAGCGAACGGG